rnacentral:rRNA from 1 species
GACGAACGCUGGCGGCGUGCCUAAUACAUGCAAGUUGAGCGCUGAAGGUUGGUACUUGUACCAACUGGAUGAGCAGCGAACGGGUGAGUAACGCGUGGGGAAUCUGCCUUUGAGCGGGGGACAACAUUUGGAAACGAAUGCUAAUACCGCACAAAAACUUUAAACACAAGUUUUAAGUUUGAAAGAUGCAAUUGCAUCACUCAAAGAUGAUCCCGCGUUGUAUUAGCUAGUUGGUGAGGUAAAGGCUCACCAAGGCGAUGAUACAUAGCCGACCUGAGAGGGUGAUCGGCCACAUUGGGACUGAGAAACGGCCCAAACUCCUACGGGAGGCAGCAGUAGGGAAUCUUCGGCAAUGGACGAAAGUCUGACCGAGCAACGCCGCGUGAGUGAAGAAGGUUUUCGGAUCGUAAAACUCUGUUGGUAGAGAAGAACGUUGGUGAGAGUGGAAAGCUCAUCAAGUGACGGUAACUACCCAGAAAGGGACGGCUAACUACGUG